CCGGUUCAAGCCUAACCGGCAAGCCGUUUACGGGUUUGGCUGAUUUUGUUUUGCUUCUCCUUCCUUCGUUAUUUUUCUACACUUGUUCUUCCUCUCUCUCAAAACCGUGAGCCACCCUCUUCCAUUUCCAAUCAAUUCCUCUUCAUUUCUCAACCAUUUGUAUGCAAAGAUCAAUCUCUUAAACCAUUACCCAUGCAUUUCAUCUUCAUUAAACACUUCUCCAUCAUGAUUUCUUCACUUGUUUUUCAUUAUUUCAUCAUCAUCUCUCACGCGUGAACAGUAACUCUCCAUUUCUCUCUCAAAAUUCUUCAUCUUUCACUCAUUUUCUUGUUAAAAUCAAUCAUCCAAAUCAUUAUUCAUCCAUUACUCCUUCAAUUUUCGUUCUCAAAACUUCAUUUCAUCAACUCUCCACAUAAAACCCAAAAUCAAAAACCUAACUAUCCGUUUCUCUCUCUAUAUUUUCAAGCUUCCUUUAGCCCAUUUUUGAUCCAAUCUACAUCAUAUAUUAGCUUCAUUCAUCUCUAGGAUCGAUUUUCUUGGCUCAAACAAAUCCAUUUCACUCAAUUUUUGUAAACCCGAAAUUGAAUCUUUAAGCUUGUUUUUGUUCCAACAAUGGUGGAUGGUAAUAUAUCAUGAGCAAACAAGUUGCCAAGAGAUGUGAGAACAAUUAUGGAGAUAAUACGGAGUUCAUAUCAACACCAUCCAUUAUCUUAAAUCAUCUCUUGGAUCAAUAUAAUCGGUUUAAAAUAAUCCAUUUCACUCAUUAUUUUACAAAACCGAAUUUGUGCAUUUUGGGUAUUUUAAAUUACCAUGGUUCCUCAUUAUAUUAUGCACCUACAUUUUCAUAUGCAUAAUUAUUUUAAUUAUGGAUUACGGAUGAUGGUUGUUUAAAAUUUGGAUAAUUUAUAUUUGAAUUAUAUUUUUUGAAUUCUUAGAAUGAAUAUGACUCUUUAGUUAAUUGCAAGCUCAAUUUUUUUUUUGAUUAAUCAUUGAGAUAUUCUUUUUGGUAUAAGCAUGGAUUUAUAGUGAUUUUGAUUAUUGAUGAUUAUUGAUGAUUAUAUGUGUGUUGCUUGAUGAAUUGACGGAGUUGUUGGUUUGGUAUAAUUGUUUAAGCUUAUAUGGAAGCGUUUUUAACCAUGUUGUGUAUUUGAGGAUUUGUGCAUUUUAAGGGGAGACUCUGCCGAAAUUUUUCCUCGCACAAAAUUGGUAAUAUCUUCAUUGAAUUAUUUUUAAUGAUUUUGUUUCAAUUGCAUCUAUCUAUCUUUUCUUUUUUAUGAUGAAAGGGGAGAUAAAUAUGAUUUUAUUUUUUUUGAAUAAAAUUAUUUUGGUUAAAAUUUUAAAUUGGCCAUUUAUUUAGGGGGAGCAUAUAAUAUAUUUUUGAAUAAUAUGGAUUUUGAAUUUUUUGGUUGUCCAAAGGGGGAGACAAAGGAAUAUAUCAUUUCGAUAUUGUCAAAAUAAGGAGAAUAAUAUGCACUUUGAAUAUUCUUUUGAUGAUUUUGAUGAUAUGUGAUUAUGGUGAGUACUUGAUGAUUUUGAGAUAUGAUGAUAAUUUAUGAGUAAUAUUACUAAAUUUGUAUUUGAGGUGAUGCUUGUUGUUAGGGGGAGAUUUUAUCGAAAUUUCUAUUCGGACAACAUGGGUAACAAAUUUCCUACUCUUAUUCUUUUCCUUU
rnacentral:lncRNA from 1 species